ACACAAAAUUUAAAAAACAUGCUCCGCAGUUAACUCAUGAUAGAAGAUAACAGCGAUAGUUUUUCAUUAAAAAUAAACAGAAGUAACUCUGGAUAUGAGUUACACAAAAUAAGAUUAUAAGCACAGUAGCUGUGAUUUUAACUUUUCUUCUCUUCCAAAUAGGGAUUUCCCAGGAUGUCUCAAAUGGGCAGGCUCUGACUAAGACCUGUGGCAGAUCAGCCUUGCUCUGGGACUCAUCCAUCGCCUGUCGAACUGCCCAGAUUGCAUCUCAAAGACCAGAGCCAGCUUCAGCCUUCCUCCCUGGGUUAAGUCCAGGAAAGCUGCCCGAGCACUUUCAGCUGGAAGGUGCCGUGUGCUGAAGGAGCUCUUUAGUGACAAGAAGUGACUGGGUAUGAGAAGGUUUAUACGGCUCCACUUUAGGUGACAAGGAAGUACGAGACUGACUGUAAAUGAUUUGGGGACUGUCCCCACAGAUUCUUCUCGGUGAGUAAACUAUGGAAGGGCACAUUGAGACGCAGCGGAAGGAAGGCAUUCUCUCUCUUACCUUUGCAGAACAGGAACUUCUGCGACUCGGCCCGGCCUCCGUGGUGACCCGCUUUGCACCAGAAGCAUUUCUCUCAAUCAGAGCCUGGAUCUGGCUGUCCAGCUCCAGGCUUUCACACCUACCCAGGGGGACACGGGAAAGUCACAUUUUACAAAGGCCUUUCUGUUUAAAGAAAACAACCUGUUGGUGGCUCCAGCUGCAAUGUAGGCGGCUUGUAAAGGCGAUGUUAGGAGAAGCUUGAGAGAGAAGAGAUGAGGGUCGGGAAUCCACUCUUGCCCCUCCUUUCUGGAACUCCCCGGUUUUUAAAGUGGUGGACGGUGCCGGCAGAGCAGCCAACUCGAAGCAGAGAUGAAGUGCAGCUGCGGAUGCUGGUGUGAACCCAGUGAGAGAUUCCUGGAGCUCCAGCCCAGCCGGCCAUCCGAGUCCUCUGUCCGCUCACCGAGCUAUGCUGGAAACUAACCUGUCACGGUGGAACUGAGCCCGAGGGCGGUGCCACAAAGUGAAACUGGCUUCUGGAUCUGCCGGGUGAGAGUGAAAGUAAAGGUCACUUUUUGGUCCCCUGAGACCAAGACGCGACGGCAGCUCAUCCCUCAGCCCCGCAUCCUUCCUUCCGAGCCCCGGAUCAUG